rnacentral:miRNA from 1 species
UGUGUUUUGAGCUCAUCAAGCCCCAAAACACUUGAUGUUAAAACUUAUCCUUGGGCUGGAGAGAUGGCUCAGCCGUUAAAGGCUAGGCUCACAACUAAAUUUAUA